rnacentral:lncRNA from 10 species
AGAGUUGGCGCGCCAGGGCGUGGAAGCCGCCGGAGGAUCCCGCCUGUCGCAGCGGGGACGCGUGUGGGCCCCUGCUCCCAGGCCACUUCGCGCGCGCGCCCCCCACAUCCUCCUCGGGACACUUGUCCCUGGAUCCUCUACCCCUGGCCGGCCCGAGGCCGCCUUCUCGGGAAGCCCCACCAGCCCCCAAGGGUGUUUUCCCUUGGCUACCUGCGCUGCGAGGAGAGAAGGGAAUUCAGAGAAGGGGUACAAGGGGGGCGUCCCUGGGAGGGGGCGCGACUGGAGGAGACAGAACGGGGAGCGGGUGCCAAAGCGCGGGCCUUUGCUCCGCCUGGGCGCAGUGGGAGCACCAACUGGCAGAGUUGGAAACUUUUCCUCCACGUGGCACCACAGUGCGUGGACGAGCGACCCCGCGCCCGGAUGACCCCUGGGAUUCCCGCCUCGUCUUCCAGCGGGGGACCUAGGGACGCACGGGCGGCUUCAGAUCCGGGAGCGCGAGGCCUAACAGCCGGGGGCCGAACUUGAACCUCGGAGGCGGCCGCGGGCGAGGGGCGGGGCCGAAGGGGCCGGGACCGCCGCCCCAGCUCGAGGACCCGUUAGACCGGCAAACCGCAGUCCCUGCCCCGCGGGCUUCCUUUACUUUUUGGGAGUGGGGGGCGGUUUCCCUGCUUUUUCCACCACAGCCCCUCCUCCCGCCGCAAUGUGGCUGAUGCUCAUAAAAAGUUGUAUUAAAGAGCUGACUGCAGCCGAGAAUCGAUCAACAAAAGCGACCAGCCUCUCUGGGUAAAAUAGCUGUGCGUUUUUCAGGGCACUGGAAUUGAUCUAUACGGAUCAGAAAGACCGACAGCCCGCUCUCAGCAGCCUCUUGGAUACGCUUCACUUUCUGUCCAGGCACAUAAACACCACGGCACCAACCCUUCGUCCUCCCUAGUAGCCCAUACUUGUGGAGGAAGAAAAGGAAAAUAAACUGGCAUGUAUUAAUUACAAUGGGCCAGGCACCGUGCUAGAGCGCUGUGUAUAUGAUUUCACCUCUUUAGAAUACAAAUGUGCACAUUUUAUUAGUAUUACUGGAAGGAGGGUGGUAGAGAAAACAGUAAGGACGUGUUUUCUCUCACAAUCUGACACAUCUAUGAUUGAGUGAUUGAUUGUUUUUCAUUUAACAAUUAUUAGGCCUUACCAGGCUUAGCAGGCACAGUUGUAGGUGCUGGGAAUACAGCGUUGUACAAAACAGAAAAGAUACUGCUUCUUGACGUUCUAGCAGGCAAGCCUCUCUCGUCUUAUAAUUCCUAAUAACAAUUUAAUAGCUUGUCUUUCUCUUGUUUUAGGUCACACUCCUUCAGCUUCCCCGUUUCUGAAUCCCAGGUCUGGAUCUUUAUGAAAUCAGAUGGAGAGAUGGGGUUGGGGGGACGGGGGGGUCAAGUUGCCAGGAACAGAAAGGAACAUCCACCCGACUGUGACAGAUGAGCUUUAUGCCAGUCCAGGAAACAAAACAUUUGACCUUAGGUCUAUCCACGGCCUUCUCAACAGAUGACUUCAAGUUGAUUUCGUGCUUUAUUUCUUAAGAAUAGUGACUAACCUAAGGGAUCUGAUUCAAUUUAUUAGGAACACAGUGCCACCUUCCAAAAUUACUUACCUAAGAGGACUGAGCCUGCUGUCCCUGGAGCAGUUAGCUAAAACAGUGCCUCAGUACGGAGCGUACCUGUGUUAACUUCUAGAGUGCUGUUUCCGGCAGCUGCUGAAAUCCACGCUGAGGUUAUCAAGCUCAUCCUACAAAAUAAAGUGUCUCUGAUGAAUGACACAUUGAUCAACCCAUAUUCUUCAGACUCUACCAUGUGAAGCCAAUGAAAGAUGCCUGCUGGUGACCAAAUGAUGUUCAUGUAAAAUGGCCAUUCUGGCAAAUUUAAUAAGCUUUAGAUUUAUUUUAAAAACCAACCAGUAUUUCUAUCCCUUCUCAAGGCAAUGUUUUCUAUUUGAGGUUUCACUUGACAUGACCAGGUAGGAAAAUUGAUGAAUAGUCAUAAGAAGAAACUUU